GCCGCAUCCGUCUGAUACAACACACUAUAAAUUACGCGAAGAGCCGAAAUUGCGCGGCGGAAUUUUAAAAUUAUCAGAUUCGGAAAUUCUCAUAU